rnacentral:rRNA from 1 species
UACGUAGGGUGCAAGCGUUAAUCGGAAUUACUGGGCGUAAAGCGUGCGCAGGCGGUUUUGUAAGUCUGACGUGAAAUCCCCGGGCUCAACCUGGGAAUUGCGAUGGAGACUGCAAGGCUUGAAUCUGGCAGAGGGGGGUAGAAUUCCACGUGUAGCAGUGAAAUGCGUAGAGAUGUGGAGGAACACCGAUGGCGAAGGCAGCCCCCUGGGUCAAGAUUGACGCUCAUGCACGAAAGCGUGGGGAGCAAACCGG